AUAGGUCUUGGAGUCUGUAUUGAUGCUCGUGUGCUGCACCGUAUAGAGCGGGGAGCUAAAUGAGACGGAACAAAACUUGUUCGGUCUCUGAUGAGGGCACUGUUCGAUCCUGAGGAAAUGAUUGGAAGAACACUGUAUGGUAAACCGUGCAAUGCGCACCAGAAUGCAGUAACAAAGCCAGCAGUCGAUGAGACAAGGCGUGAGGCCAUCCUGGCGUACACAUGCAAGAAGACGACGACCGGCCUCCG